rnacentral:rRNA from 1 species
UACGUAGGUGGCGAGCGUUGUCCGGAAUUACUGGGUGUAAAGGGAGCGCAGGCGGGGAAGCAAGUCAGCUGUGAAAUCUAUGGGCUUAACCCAUAACGUGCAGUUGAAACUGUUUUCUUGAGUGGAGUAGAGGUAGGCGGAAUUCCGAGUGUAGCGGUGAAAUGCGUAGAGAUCACACAGAAUAUCGAUUGCGAAGGCAGCUCACAAAGCCAAGAUUGACGCUGAGGCACGAAAGUGUGGGGAUCAAACAGGAUUA